GUUGGGAUGUAGCUCAGUGGCAAAGCAUCUGCCUUGCAUUCACAAAGCCCUGGGUUCAACCUCCAGUUCCAAAA
rnacentral:tRNA from 1 species